rnacentral:rRNA from 1 species
CCCUUAGAUGUUCUGGGCCGCACGCGCGCUACACUGAUACAUGCAACGAGUUUAUAACCUCGAUCUGACGGUCUGGGUAAUCUUCAAACUGUAUCGUGUUAGGGAUCGAUUCUUGCAAUUUUUAAUCGUAAACGAGGAAUUCCUAGUAAACGCAAGUCAUCAGCUUGCAUUGAUUACGUCCCUGCCCUUUGUACACACCGCCCGUCGACUCUACCGAUUGAAUGGUUCGGUGAAAACUUUGGACUGUGGCAUUGUCCUUCAUUGGACUUCGCCGUAGGAAAUUGUUUAAACCUCAUCAUUUAGAGGAAGAAUAAGUCGUAACA